rnacentral:siRNA from 1 species
AAACUACUCUAACCCAUCCUCAGA